rnacentral:rRNA from 1 species
GACGAACGCUGGCGGCGUGCUUAACACAUGCAAGUCGAACGAUGAAGCCGGAGCUUGCUCUGGUGAAUUAGUGGCGAACGGGUGAGUAACACGUGAGUAACCUGCCCUUGACUCUGGGAUAACUGCGGGAAACUGUAGCUAAUACCGGAUACGACCCUCGGAGGCAUCUCCUGGGGGUGGGAAGAAUUUCGGUCAAGGAUGGACUCGCGGCCUAUCAGCUAGUUGGUGAGGUAAAGGCUCACCAAGGCGACGACGGGUAGCCGGCCUGAGAGGGUGACCGGCCACACUGGGACUGAGACACGGCCCAGACUCCUACGGGAGGCAGCAGUGGGGAAUAUUGCGCAAUGGGCGCAAGCCUGAUGCAGCAACGCCGCGUGAGGGAUGACGGCCUUCGGGUUGUAAACCUCUUUUAGCAGGGAAGAAGCGAAAGUGACGGUACCUGCAGAAAAAGCACCGGCUAACUACGUGGCAGCCGCCGCAGUAA